GUGGGGAAUAUUCCGCAAUGGACGAAAGUCUGACGGAGCAACGCCGCGUGAGUGAUGAAGGUUUUCGGACUGUAAAGCUCUGUUGUUUAGGACGAAAGUGCCUGUUGCAAAUAGUUACAGGUAUUGACGGUACUGAACGAGGAAGCCACGGCUAACUACGUGCCAGCAGCCGCGGUAAUACGUAGGUGGCAAGCGUUGUCCGGAAUUAUUGGGCGUAAAGAGCAUGUAGGCGGGAAUCUAAGUCUGUUGUGAAAAUGCGGGGCUCAACCCCGUAUUGCGAUGGAAACUGGGUUUCUUGAGUGCAGGAGAGGAAAGGGGAAUUCCCAGUGUAGCGGUGAAAUGCGUAGAUAUUGGGAGGAACACCAGUGGCGAAGGCGCCUUUCUGGACUAUGUCUGACGCUGAGAUGCGAAAGCCAGGGUAGCGAACGGGAUUAGAAACCCGUGUAGUCC
rnacentral:rRNA from 1 species